rnacentral:rRNA from 1 species
GACGAACGCUGGCGGCGUGCUUAACACAUGCAAGUCGAGCGGUAAGGCCCUUUCGGGGGUACACGAGCGGCGAACGGGUGAGUAACACGUGGGUGACCUGCCCUCAGCUCUGGGAUAAGCCUGGGAAACUGGGUCUAAUACUGGAUAUGACUCCACGGUGCAUGUCGUGGGGUGGAAAGCCUUGUGCGGCUGAGGAUGGGCCCGCGGCCUAUCAGCUUGUUGGUGGGGUGANGGCCUACCAAGGCGACGAUCCGUAGCCGGCCUGAGAGGGCGGUCGGCCACACUGACACUGACAUACGGGUCAGACUCCUACGGGAGGCAGCAGUCGGGAAUUUUGGGCAAUGGGCGAAAGCCUGACCCAGCAACGCCGCGUGAAGGAUGAAAUCCCUC